GACGUAGGGUGCGAGCGUUGUCCGGAAUUAUUGGGCGUAAAGAGCUCGUAGGCGGUCUGUCACGUCGGCUGUGAAAUCCCGAGGCUCAACCUCGGGUCUGCAGCCGAUACGGGCAGACUAGAGUUCGGCAGGGGAGACUGGAAUUCCUGGAUGUAGCGGUGAAAUGCGCAGAUAUCAGGAGGAACACCGGUGGCGAAGGCGGGUCUCUGGGCCGAUACUGACGCUGGAGGAGCGAAAGCGUGGGGAGCGAACAGG
rnacentral:rRNA from 1 species